rnacentral:rRNA from 1 species
UACGUAGGUGGCAAGCGUUGUCCGGAUUUAUUGGGCGUAAAGCGAGCGCAGGCGGUUCCUUAAGUCUGAUGUGAAAGCCCCCGGCUCAACCGGGGAGGGUCAUUGGAGACUGGGGAACUUGAGUGCGGAAGAGGAGAGUGGAAUUCCAUGUGUAGCGGUGAAAUGCGUAGAUAUAGGGAGGAACACCAGUGGCGAAGGCGACACUCUGGUCUAUAACUGACGCUGAGGCUCGAAAGCGUGGGUAGCAAACAGG